AGUGGAGCCUGCGGCUUAAUUUGACUCAACACGGGAAACCUCACCAGGCCCGGACACCGGAAGGAUUGACAGAUUGAGAGCUCUUUCUUGAUUCGGUGGGUGGUGGUGCAUGGCCGUUCUUAGUUGGUGGAGCGAUUUGUCUGGUUAAUUCCGAUAACGAACGAGACUCUAGCCUGCUAACUAGGCGUAUUUCGACAUCCCAAAGGCCCGCCGGCCGCGUCGAGGUUCGCCUCGCGCGGUCGUGCGCGGUUUUUACUGUCGGCGUACAAACAAUUCUUCUUAGAGGGACAGGCGGCUCCUAGCCGCACGAGAUUGAGCAAUAACAGGUCUGUGAUGCCCUUAGAUGUUCUGGGCCG
rnacentral:rRNA from 1 species